GACAGAGGGGGCAAGCGUUGCUCGGAAUCACUGGGCGUAAAGGGCGCGUAGGCGGGCUGGCAAGUCGGUCGUGAAAUCCUUCGGCUCAACCGAAGAACGUCGGCCGAUACUGCCGUUCUUGAGGGAUGCAGAGGAGAUUGGAAUUCCCGGUGUAGCGGUGAAAUGUGUAGAGAUCGGGAGGAACACCGGUGGCGAAGGCGGUUCUCUGGGCCUUACCUGACGCUGAGGAGCGAAAGCGUGGGGAGCAAACAGG
rnacentral:rRNA from 1 species